AGUGAACGCUGGCGGUAGGCCUAACACAUGCAAGUCGAACGGCAGCACAGUAAGAGCUUGCUCUUACGGGUGGCGAGUGGCGGACGGGUGAGGAAUACAUCGGAAUCCACUUUUUCGUGGGGGAUAACGUAGGGAAACUUACUCUAAUACCGCAUACGACCUACGGGUGAAAGCAGGGGAUCUUCUGACCUUGCGCGAUUGAAUGAGCCGAUGUCGGAUUAGCUAGUUGGGGGGGGAAAGGCCCACCAAGGCGACGAUCCGUAGCUGGUCUGAGAGGAUGAUCGGCGGCAGGGGAGGUGAGACACGGUCCAGGGUACUACGGGAGGCAGCAGUGGGGAAUAUUGGACAAUGGGGGCGAGCCUGAUCCAGCCAUACGGCGUGGGUGAAGAAGGCGUUCGGGUUGUAAAGCCCUUUUGUUGGGAAAGAAAAGCAGCAGGUUAAUACCCCGCUGUUCUGACGGUACCCAAAGAAUAAGCACCGGCUAACUUCGUG
rnacentral:rRNA from 1 species